UGAAAGGUGGGUUGCUACAAUCUUUAAAAAAUAAGGAAUUACGAACUUUCUUUAAUGAAAUUGAAGUUGAAUGAACAACACAAAUGCCAGAAUGACUAAAAAUCAGAUAGAAGAAAGGACCAGGACUGCAAUCGGUCAAACCUAUAAGACAGGCUCACAGGUAUCCUUGACUUCUGCCUUGUUGUGGUCAAAUGUAACAUUAAUGAAUACUUUACUCAUGAAAAAACGAUGCUGGGCCCAUAUUCCGUGUUUAAUGGGUUAUGUAUUGGUAUCCACUUCUAUAGUGCUACAAAUUACAACCGGAAUACUUCUUAUUAUUCAAAAUAAUUGGGAAAAAGCAAAUGUAAAAGAGAAAAAUGAUAUAGAAAUGAAGAAAGAGAAAGAUGAGGAUCGAUUUGAUGAUUGUGGAUGUGAUAAUGAUAUAACAAAAAGAGAAAAAAACCUGAAGAAAAGUGAAUCAAGUGCGGAAAAACUUAACAUAACAAUUCUGAUCUUCAGCUUUCUUGUUGCCGUAAUAAACAUCUUCAUUAAUGGGAUCGAAAUGACAUAGGACAAAGUUAUUAUAUAUAUAUAUAUAUAUAUAUAUAUAUACAAAUACAUGUAAACGUUUUACAGUGUACAUAAUUUUAAAUAAACAACUAAUAAUGUAUUACGAUGCGAACAAACAAAUCUCCAAAAUUCUAUUGCUUUUCCCAUAGGUUUGUAUAGUAAACAUUCCCCCUUUUGAUCCACUCAAAAUAUUCCAUUAAAAUAAACCAAUCUGCAAAUUCUAAAUAUCUAAGUCAUAAGUAUGGAUAUAGCCGUAUAGGACUAGCGGUAUAUAUAAUUUUGAAAUACAAUGUAAUCUACUACACAGUUUCUUAGAACUGCCAGGUUCAAGUUCAAGAAAAAAAGAAGAGUGAAUGCCUAUAAUAUAACAAGCAAUUAUCUGUUAGGAUGCUAACACAAAAGUCACUUUAACCGAAAGUUGCCUGAUUCAGAAAAAAAACUUGAACAAAUAAGGUUCUGAUUAUUAUAAAAGAGGGACGAAAGAUACCAGAGGGACAGUCAAACUCAUAGAUCGAAAACAAACUGACAACGCCAUGGCCAAAAAUAAAAAGACAAACAGACAAAUAAUAGUACAGAUGACACAACAUAGAAAACUAGACUAAGCAACACGAACCCAACCAAAAACUGGGGGUGAUCUCAGGUGCUCCGGAAGGGUAAGCAGGUCCUGCUUCACAUGUGGCACCCGUCGUGUUGAUUAUGAUAUUACAAAUCCGGUAAAUAGUCUAAUUCGGUAGGUCACAUUCGUGAAAAGGGAAGGGUAUUGUAGUUACGACAUAAGGAACAUAUCCGAUAUCAUCUGUGAAACGGUUAUUCCAUAACAGACAACCAACUCGUGAUGGCGUCUGUAAAAUUUACGAAGAGAUGAUUUCAACGUCACCAUUUUGAAAUCUUGGUUUAAUAGCUUCCUUGUGAGCAGCAUUCCUCUAUCAAGGAAAUCAUGAUAGGAAAUACAAGCCCGUGAAUAUCGUAUCAAUUGGGAGAUAUAUACUCUGUAUACAGGCGCUGCUGGAAUGUUGCUACAUAGAAAUGUAAAGUUCUCUCUGUUUAAAAGUCCCUUAAACUGUGCAAGUGGUCUCUUGUUGAACCAGAAAAUGUUUACAACAAAACAUCAUCUGGUCCUAAUAUAACAUUUUAACAUCAAAUAAAACAUCACUCAUAUUUUAUGAGAUCCAAUAAAAAAGUUGACAUUUU